UCGUUUGACAAUAUAUAAUUGUCUGAAUGGCUCGACCCCCCCCCCCUUUCAUCUCUCUCACCCAUCUCCUCUUCAAAAACCUUCAAAGAAACCCUAGCGUCGCCUCAAAUCGGCCCCAAAUUUACACCAUGUAGCCCUUAGCCCAUCCUCUUUCCAUAACCCAAAAACACAUCUUUUGAAGCCCUCUACAUCUCGUCGAAUUUCAAAUCUGAGGUGGAAACUCUAAAUCCCCUCCAAAUUAGUAGUUUCAGCGAAGGAUUUGAGGCUGAAGUUGAUUUUAUUCGUGCGUUUUCGUUGAGAACACACGAUUAAUGUCUAUUUCGGUCAAAAUCGAGAGUUCCAGGAAUCGUUCAAGGUCUUGCCUGCCUGGGUUUAGGUAUUUCAAUUUCUCUUUCUUUCAUUUUUCUUUUCGUUUCAUUCCUAGUUCUUCAUCUUCUUCUGUUUCUUUUCCUUUUUAUUUUAAAAUCUUUUCUACAUGUCCGUAAUUCUAACCAGUAUAUUUUGUUUCUUUUGUUUUAGUUCUCUCUUAAAUUUUCCUCCUGUUUUGUUUUGCUUUAUUUGGAAUCUUUGGUUCCCAGAGUUCAUAUAACUCCGAGUUGUUCCUUUUCUUCAAUCUCUCUGUUGGAUUUCGAUUGAAUUGGGCUCUAUUAAUUAGAGGCUCAAAGAAAAGGGGAUUAGCCCGGGUUUGGUAAACCCACGUCUGGUUAUUCUUGGGUCCAAAUUGACCUAUAUUUAUGCUGGGGUAAUUAACAGGGGUUACAAGGGUAAUUCAGGGUUUUUAGGUUAGAGAAUCUCUCAUAACUGAUUGGGAAACUUCUAGGAAGGUGGGGUUUGGGACUGUUUUAAAAAAUAGAAUUUAAAUGUAGGGAUUAACUGGCAAAAAUGAGAAUUUAAAAAGGAGUAAGGGCAAUAACUUGACUCAUUUCUGCUACCCUAAAGUUUUCCUAUAAAAGGGUGUAACUUCUUAAUCAAGGAAGAUUUUUUUUGAGAGACGAAAAAAAACACCAAAGAAUUUAGUAACGGCUGAGCCUCUUAAAAAACUCAAAGAACUGAAAUUUGCUGGAAAUUUUCUUGGCUUCUGUUUCUUUGAUUCCUUUUGGUUGAUUGGAGCUUCUAAAAGUUUCCAAGUCGUGCAUCUGGGUUAAAAAAGGGUUUAAGUUGAUUUGAAAGCUUGGUUUGAUUUGCUGGUUUUAUCAUUGUUCCAUUGCUGACCUAUUGCUGUUGUUUCCUCUUAAAUUUCAAGCUCAAUUUUCCUUGUUUUUGAUUGCUGUAACCAGGUAUUUACUGAAUCUCACUUGGCAUGAUGAAAGGAUCUGCAGUUGUAAACUGAAUUGGAAAUCUAUGGCCUCUGUGAAGACCAAAUGUCUCUUCUAGGCUUUUAAACUCACUUAAUUCUGUAGAAGUUCAAUCUUCUCUUCUUGCAUUCUGUUUAGUUUAUUUAUGUUAUUAGUUGAGUACUGGUGACUAUUGGAUUUCAGAAUAAUUAGCAUGUCGAUUUCAUAAGAUUUUGUUCAUAACAUUACAGCCGUGAAUGUUAAAAUAUGUAUAAAGUUUAUAUCUAGACUGUAGGUUUUUUAUCAUUUUAGUUUCAUUUGGGUUUGAAACUAUCUGCCAUAUGUUUGGAUGUGGAUUGUUAUAAGGUGGUCUUAGGAGGAUAGAAAACUCUUUUUGUUAGGCUUUUGAUCACAUUGGCUCAAGAUGGUAGUGAUUGCAAGAUUACAGUUAAUUAACUUAUGGUUAUUUACCUCUUUUAGAUGUUGGUUUAAGCAUUUGAACAAAUUUAGCACAUGUUGUUGUAUUUUGAUAGCUGAUUCGAAUGGUUGUAACACUCUACUAUAGCCAUUAAGGGUGCUAGUUCAAUGAUGAUUAGUAGUGAUUCUGGGUUUUCAAAUCUGUAUGAUUUGUAUGUUCUUUGAAAAUGAAGAUUUUAUUUUGUCUUGGAAAAAUGAGAAAAAGCUUGCUCUUGUGUUUCUUUUCAUUAUAAAAGUAGGAUGUACAAUUUGAAAUGGUUAAAUGUAAUGUGUGUAAUUUAAAUUUGGGAUGUUAAAUGAUGAAACGAUCUACGUGUGAGCUGUUAUCACGUCAGAAAUUGUACCUUCAUUUUAGAAUAUAUGUCAGCAUCAAAAAUAUGCUUUGCAUCUGUUCAAGGAUUAUCAGUAUUUG
rnacentral:lncRNA from 1 species